rnacentral:rRNA from 1 species
UACAGAGGUCUCAAGCGUUGUUCGGAUUCAUUGGGCGUAAAGGGUGCGUAGGUGGCGCGCUAAGUCAGGUGUGAAAUUUCGGAGCUUAACUCCGAAACUGCAUUUGAUACUGGCGUGCUUGAGGACUGGAGAGGAGACUGGAAUUCCUGGUGUAGCGGUGAAAUGCGCAGAUAUCAGGAAGAACACCCGUGGCGAAGGCGGCUCUCUGGGACGGUACUGACGCUGAGACGCGAAAGCGUGGGGAGCGAACAGG